AACGAACGCUGGCGGCAGGCUUAACACAUGCAAGUCGAGCGCCCCGCAAGGGGAGUGGUAGACGGGUGAGUAACGCGUGGGAAUCUACCCAUCUCUACGGAAUAACGCAUGGAAACGUGUGCUAAUACCGUAUACGUCCUUCGGGAGAAAGAUUUAUCGGAGAUGGAUGAGCCCGCGUUGGAUUAGCUAGUUGGUGGGGUAAAGGCCUACCAAGGCGACGAUCCAUAGCUGGUCUGAGAGGAUGAUCAGCCACACUGGGACUGAGACACGGCCCAGACUCCUACGGGAGGCAGCAGUGGGGAAUAUUGGACAAUUGGCGCAAGCCUGAUCCAGCCAUGCCGCGUGAGUGAUGAAGGCCCUAGGGUUGUAAAGCUCUUUCACCGGUGAAGAUAAUGACGGUAACCGGAGAAGAAGCCCCGGCUAACUUCGUGCCAGCCGCCGCGGUAACAC
rnacentral:rRNA from 1 species